rnacentral:antisense_RNA from 1 species
CAAAUAUAAGAGCCUUGAAUACUAGAAGAAAAGCACCUAUACCUAGCAAAAUUAAGUGAAUACCCAAAAUUGUGGUCAUUUUGGGUACUGAUCUCUCAU